rnacentral:lncRNA from 1 species
AUUUUGGCAGAAUUUAUUAUAGAUAACAUUGCGUUUCUGGUGGCAUUACAAAGGAUGAAAGCUCCAUUAACCUGUUAAGCACAGAGGGUAUAAAAAUGGUAAUUGGUAGAAAAUCGUGGAGACCAGCGGGGAGGUUUUGCCGCAGUGCUGUGUCCUCUGUAGGUGAGGGAGAAGCAGGUAGCUGUUGCUGCUGGAGGUCAGCUCCAUGUCAUUCCAGCCUGGGUCUCUUAUGGAAACUUCUGAAAAGGAGAAGUUUUCCUUUGCAUUUACAAACAGAACAGGAGAUGAGCUUUCUGCAGUCAGAGGCCGUCCUGCUACUGUGUUUCAAGAAUUCCCAAGGAAGGAAAGUGGACCGAGGCAGGAAGCAGGGGCUUGUGCCUCAGAACAGGGCGGUGGUCUUAGAUGCAGAGCUGAUGCUUCAGGAGGGACGGUCAAAGGCAAGGCAGCCAGAGUGGCUGGGCCAGCGUGGGAAGGAUCACAGUGUUUGGUGA